rnacentral:rRNA from 1 species
GACAGAGGGUGCAAACGUUGCUCGGAAUCACUGGGCGUAAAGGGCGUGUAGGCGGCAGCGCAAGUCGGGCGUGAAAUCCCACGGCUCAACCGUGGAAGUGCACUCGAAACUGCGCAGCUAGAGUCCUGGAGAGGAAGGUGGAAUGCUUGGUGUAGAGGUGAAAUUCGUAGAUAUCAAGCGGAACACCGGUGGCGAAGGCGGCCUUCUGGACAGUGACUGACGCUGAGAUAGCGAA